GUGCACAGUGCGAGCCGACUGCGGCUGCCUCAGUGUCUCCUUCGUUGACCGUGGACCUUCCCGAGUACAGCAAAAAGAAGGACUUUGGUAGCGUGCAUACAACAUUCCUUGCCGCAUAGGUGCAGUACAAUAAACCAGGUGUGGAGGAAGGCAUGCUGCUGCCGGAUCAGACGUACGAGGUGACCCACCAGUACCAACACCACCACCAUCUGGCCAGGCUUCUGAUCGCACAUCGAGUGCGCCCCGACUUCUUCUGCACCUAUUGUCCGCGUCACUUUAACAAGUCACAGCCACCGCCCGGUGACACCGCAUCGUGCCCCCGUCAUUCCUGCCGCCCACGCCGCCUACCGCGUGCACACAACCAACUCCAGUCGCAGUCUAGCAGGAAUCGAGAGUCGCCUCGCAGGCCGUGGUCUCGAGUUGAGAGAGGGUUAGAGUAUUCACAAUUGUAAUAAAUACUCAAUGAUACAUGAUACAUAAAGUAUAACCGAUAUUAACAC